GACGAACGUUGGCGGCGUGCUUGAUACAUGCAAGUCAACUGAAGCAGUGGUAGCAAUAUCGCUGUGGAGGUGGCGCACGGGUGAGUAACACGUAGGUAAUCUGCCUUCAGGUCUGGCAUAACUCCGGGAAACCGGGGCUAAUAGCAGAUGAUGCAGCGGCUCGACAUCGAGACAGUUGUUAAAGCUAUGGCGCCUGAAGAUGAGCCUGCGUCUGAUUAGCUAGUUGGCGGGGUAACGGCCCACCAAGGCAACGAUCAGUAGCUGGUCUGAGAGGAUGAUCAGCCACACUGGAACUGAGACACGGUCCAGACUCCUACGGGAGGCAGCAGUAAGGAAUAUUGCUCAAUGGGAGAAAUCCUGAAGCAGCAACGCCGCGUGAGGGACGAAGGGCUUUUGCUUGUAAACCUCUGUAGUGAGAGAAAAAAAUCCCAAUCUUUGGGACAUGAUGGUAUCUCAAAAGUAAGCCCCGGCUAACUACGUG
rnacentral:rRNA from 1 species